rnacentral:rRNA from 1 species
AACGAACGCUGGCGGCGUGGAUAAGACAUGCAAGUCGAACGAGAGAAUUGCUAGCUUGCUAAUAAUUCUCUAGUGGCGCACGGGUGAGUAACACGUGAGUAACCUGCCCCCGAGAGCGGGAUAGCCCUGGGAAACUGGGAUUAAUACCGCAUAGAAUCGCAAGAUUAAAGCAGCAAUGCGCUUGGGGAUGGGCUCGCGGCCUAUUAGUUAGUUGGUGAGGUAACGGCUCACCAAGGCGAUGACGGGUAGCCGGUCUGAGAGGAUGUCCGGCCACACUGGAACUGAGACACGGUCCAGACACCUACGGGUGGCAGCAGUCGAGAAUCAUUCACAAUGGGGGAAACCCUGAUGGUGCGACGCCGCGUGGGGGAAUGAAGGUCUUCGGAUUGUAAACCCCUGUCAUGUGGGAGCAAAUUAAAAAGAUAGUACCACAAGAG